rnacentral:rRNA from 1 species
UAGGAAAGGUGCAAGCGUUAAUCGGAAUUACUGGGCGUAAAGCGCGCGUAGGCGGCUUAGUAAGUUAGAUGUGAAAGCCCCGGGCUCAACCUGGGAACUGCAUCUAAAACUGCUAGGCUAGAGUAUGGUAGAGGAUGGCGGAAUUUCCUGUGUAGCGGUGAAAUGCGUAGAUAUAGGAAGGAACAUCAGUGGCGAAGGCGGCCAUCUGGACCAAUACUGACGCUGAGGUGCGACAGCGUGGGGAGCAAACAGG